UCUAUCCAUAGACAGGGCCCAAUUAAGUGUGGAAGAGACUAAGAGAAAGGAAGGAAGGACCGAAGAAAUGAAGGAAGAUGAAGGAAUGGAUCGAGGGAAUAACAUAAGGGACCAGAGACAAGACAAAGAGAAGAAGCCAGAUAGUAGAGACGAAGGAAACAGAGAGGGAGGAGGAGCAGACAGAAAGGAGGCCAGGGCAGUUGAGGAGGGACAGGUAGACAAGGCAGAAGGACAAGAGUGAGGAAGGGAACAGAAAGGCACAAGGGAGAGGAAGACACAGCAGAGGACAAGAUAAGAUAGAGGCAGACCUGCCCAAGAAAGACGGACCAAAGAAUGACUAGGCGCAUGAGACUUAGAACUCGAAGGGACCUUAAAGGUCAUGGAGUCCAAAUCUCUCAUUUUACAGAUGAGGAAACUAAGGCUCCAUUAAGGUAAAUCUCUUGCUCCCCCUUCACACAGUGCUGGAGACAGGAUUCGAACCCAGGUUUUCCUCACUUUAAGAGUACCCUCUUAGAGUACCCUCUAUUCGUCACACACUGCCGCUUAGUCAGGAAAAAGAAGAAAGUGAAAACUCAAAAUUUGCCUGGAGCUUUAGUGGAAGAAAGUGAAUUGAGUAGUGAAGUGUCUAGUCAAGAGUGGGGCAAGUCAGUCUUUAUCUCUGGGCUUCUGUCUCCUGAUUUCUAAAACGAGGGAACUGGAGUACGUGAACUCCAAGCUGACAUGUCGGGGUUCUGAUGAUGAGAUUCUCUCAAGGGAAGAAUGAAGAAGGGGCCUGUCUUCUUCUUAGAGCGCCAUUCUAUUCUGCACCUCUACUCCCCUACCCCACUUGUCCCGUGGAAGAAUGAGCCUUCCUCUCCUUCCAUCACCUCCCAGGACUGGGGGCCCCAGGUGAGGACGCAACGACACCGUGAUAAGGCUUCACUCCCAGGAACUCGAAGUACCGCUGGUCAAUGA
rnacentral:lncRNA from 1 species